UGGGGAAUAUUGCACAAUGGGCGAAAGCCUGAUGCAGCAACGCCGCGUGAGUGAUGAAGGUCUUCGGAUUGUAAAGCUCUGUCUUUUGGGACGAUAAUGACGGUACCAAAGGAGGAAGCCACGGCUAACUACGUGCCAGCAGCCGCGGUAAUACGUAGGUGGCGAGCGUUGUCCGGAUUUACUGGGCGUAAAGGGUGCGUAGGCGGAUGUUUAAGUGAGAUGUGAAAUACCCGGGCUUAACUUGGGUGCUGCAUUUCAAACUGGAUAUCUAGAGUGCAGGAGAGGAGAAUGGAAUUCCUAGUGUAGCGGUGAAAUGCGUAGAGAUUAGGAAGAACACCAGUGGCGAAGGCGAUUCUCUGGACUGUAACUGACGCUGAGGCACGAAAGCGUGGGUAGCAAACAGGAUUAGAUACCCUGGUAGUCCACGCCGUAAACGAUGAGUACUAGGUGUAGGAGGUAUCGACCCCUUCUGUGCCGCAGUAAACACAUUAAGUACUCCGCCUGGGAAGUACGAUCGCAAGAUUAAAACUCA
rnacentral:rRNA from 1 species